UCACGACUAAAUUUAUAUUUGGCAGGAAAUGGAGCGGCGUUCUUGCAUAAUGGUCGUGUUACAUCUAGAAGCAUAUAAAAUGCAUAUAUCAGACAUGAGUAUAUUUCUUUCUCAUCCUCAUGACAAUGUUGUGCAACAUACUGAAAUUAGAGACACUUUAAAUUAUAUUCUACGUAAAACGUUGUGAUCGUGAUCCAUACUUGUCAUUGGCACAUAAGAAUAAACAAAUACAGAUAAUAAAAGUUAAUAAAGUUAUAAAAAUAGAAUUCAUUACUGGAAAAUGAAUAGUGUAGAAAACUCCUCCUAUGAAUGUUAUGCUUCCUCUCUGAAUCAAGUUUCCACAUUUGUCCUGUUAAGUAAAUAAAGUACAAAGUUCGUGAAAACAGAGUUAGACACUACAAUCAGGGGUGGUUGCUAUAAGUAUCAUGCCGUGGAAAAGAACCUAAGAAAUGAAAAUUAUUUAUAAAGAAAAGGACAUUUGAAAAAUUAUGUUACCAAUUAGCAGUUGAUAAUUGGGAUUUUGGGAAGCACUUUUUCUUGAUUUAAACUUGAGAAAUUAUGUUACCAAUUAGCAGUUGAUAAUUGAAAUUAUGUUACCAAUUAGCAUUGCAUUUCAGACAUUGAUUUCCAUGUCCUAACCAAUAACAAAGCAAAGCAUAGAUUGUCAUGAAGAGACUUUAUAAAACCAAAUAGAUCUCUAGUAGCCUGUUGUUGGAUCAUAAAU
rnacentral:lncRNA from 1 species